GUCAAAGAGACUGCGCGCUUUUCGAGCUAAUUUUCCCGACAAUAUGCAGUUGCAAAAGUCGAACUAUCGGGACCGUGUGCAGUGCUUAGGCAAAAGCUUCCGGAAGUCCCCGAAAAAGCUCGAGAGGGAAAGCUUGAACGGAAUCGCUUUCGCAGAUGCAACUUGGCAAGCUGCACCUACUUACUCGUCCAAAAUGGCGUCGCUGUCGGCAAAAUGCCGAUAAAUCAAAGUUCCCCAUUUGAAAAAUGCCAAGUGCCCACCGCGACAUUUUAUUACACAGCGGAGGCCAAUAUGAUAGUGUUACACCAUGGUUACAGAAGUGGCAAAAAUGGAUAAACUGUUGUAAUAUAAUGGGAAUCUAGCUUAGUCACUCAAUCAUAAACAAUUUGUGCUAAAGGUCUGGACGCUACCCGAGUCACUCAACCGUCGAAAAGUUAUUGCAACCCGAUCCCGUGUCGCUGGAUGUACAUAAAUACCAGUUUCCAGUUUCCGCCGAUCCGAGGUCCAAACUGAGUUGGCCCAUGUUGAUACGAGGGCCAGUGUGUGGACUGGGAGAUGUCCGGCCUGACGUUUAUGAAAAGCCAUCGCAGCAUCAAAGCCAAUUAAGAUACCGGGCAGGGCACAUACAAGCUCUAAAGGAAUACGCGGCUAAUUUCUGCGACAAAGCCGACAAACGAUCGAGUCCAACUCCAACUCCAACCCCAAGUCCAUAUACAAGUUCAGUGUCUGGGGGCAAGAUGCAAGAAGCAAGAAGCGGCACUUUUGUCGCAAACACAGGCCGUAAAAUUAAGAACUCUGAUUGGUAACAAAUGUUUUUGUUCAUUCGAGUGAUAAAAACGUAGCGAACCGCAAAGAUAUAAAGUUCUCUUUAGUGUCUUGCCAGCGCGGCGAUGAUAAAAUAUUUAAAUGAGCGCCGAAAUGGGAAGGUUUCUCGGCUUGGAUCGGUUUGGAUCGGUUUGGAUCGGCUCGGGUCGGCUUGGACAUUUAGGAAAUCAGAGAGAGAGACACCCAAACCUUAAUGGCCGCGCACACGAACCGGGCCAAACAAGCCGAAACAGUGGGCUUAAACAAGACCAAGGGCAAAAGUGUGAAACACGGAGCGGCGUAACGCCAAUAGCAUUCGUCGAUAACCACUGUGUGUCCGCCGAGCCGAGUAAGUCGGUCGGCUGUCAUGAUUAAACAAAAGUCCAAUGCCAGCUAGGAUAUUAAAUUACAGCCAUAACGACGCAGCUAAGGACCCACUCGACGUCGACAAGGGCUUGCCAGAUUCACUUUGGGACAGGCCGACAAACGACAAACGCAAACGCAAACGACGACCCAGCCCAAAAGCAAAGCCAAAAGGCUUGCAACAGAAUCAAAACGAAUCGAAACGGCCACGACAAAAUCAUAAAAGGCAUAAACAGUUGUAAAGACACAAACCACAAAGGGCGUAGAAUCAAAAUUGAGCACUAAAACGUAAUCGAGGUCGGCGCAGAUUAACUAGCCUCUUUGCUGUUGACUCGACGAUGGACGCGGGAAGAGGAUGGGAUGGCACAUCCCGGCAGGUAGUUCAUUCUGAUAUAUCGAAUGCAUCUUAAAGAUACUUGUGCGACAUUACGAUCAUUACUCUAUGUAACAGAUACGCGGCGAUGGAAAGGGCAGGGGCAGGGGAAUGGGAAUGGCAAUGGACAGUGGCUGUAGACAGGUCGACCUGUCGUGUAAUCCGGUCCUGCCCGGCAAUUAUAACCAUAUAUAGCCCCCGCUGGCGACGGUGCCGCGUUGACGACCCACAGCCGAGCUAUUGUCCAAAAAUUGUCAUUCACAACUGUCUCGCCGAUAAGAAACAAUUAUCUGAGGCAAAAGGACUGCGAGGAGAGAUCACAUUGAAUGGCGCCAGUUUCACAAUGAAUCUUGACCGAAAGGACAAGUCUUACGUUAAGAUUUCGUCAUGCCCUUUUUAAAUGUAGGUUACAUAAAAAUGUUUAUGGGUUAUGCGAAGCGACACUGGCUUCCAACGAGAUCUUACAACGUGGGAAUGAGAUUAUUGCUUGGGGUACAUUUACUUCAUAAGUCUGAAGAUCAAUUCAUUCUUAUUUCUAUAAAUGUUCUUUAUUGAAUUUUAAUUUAUUUAUUAAGAUGACUAAUUAAGUUUCUUAAGAAAGUGGUAAUGUAAAGUGAGUAUCCCAAAAGUAUGCAAGAUAUAUUUAUAUCCCUUAACACUUAUAAUGACUAAAAGUUCUGAAAGAUUAUAUCAGUAUAUAGCUUCUGUAGAAUAGCUUUCUCUUUGUCCAAGUCACAUUUUUCCACCCCAAUUCUCUUUUAUGGUGCAUCACCAUUGAUUGCGGGGAGUGUCCAAGACGCACUCCUCCUAAUAACAGCCCUUCAAGGAACAAUUUACACCACGUGUCGGGGAUUACAUAUUAACUAUGCCACUGUUCUUAUUUCGGGGGCGUGUCGCUACAAACGUCUGCUGUUAAUCCCUCACUUCCUGGAUUGACAUUUAUAUAGCCAUUUAAGAAAGUGUGUAUUCACGUUUGUAUAUAUUAGUUUCAUUAUUAUUGCACUUUCUGUUGAACAGAAAUAAGGAUGACUUUUAAAUGAUCAAAUGUUACGUAUGUUACUGUCAUUAUGGUAAAAUUUUAUACAAUGUAUCUAAGAUCUAUAAUCGUGGGUUAAUAAUUUCGCUUUUUAGAUUUGUAAUGAUUUAAAAAACAAGUUAUAUCGGUUUUAAUUUCAAAAUGUACAUUCAUUAAAAAAAAAAAAUUUAUUGUACAA